UGGUUUUUAAACCAAACAACUGUCUCUGUGCAUUACAAAAUAACGUUAAUUAUUAUAGGUUAAUAAAAAAAUAAUUUAGUUUAUCCCCCACAUUUACGACAAUUUAGCAGGCGCGUGUAACCAUGGUAACGAGUUAUUUUACGGCACAACUGCAACCCGCGCUACCGAAUGAAAGAUACUAGCUUCCAACAUGAUUUGGCGUUGCUUUCUAUGCUACGUGUUUGUAGCAUUGAGUCUGAGACAACUUUUGAGUCACAUUAAUACCAUGCACAGCCUCAGCCCUGACUUUCGCGUGGUGUGUGGAAUUGACGGCUGUCCGAGUGAGUACAGAGUAUAUAACUCCUUCUACUAUCACGUAAAGCGGACACGCGCGCAUCACCUUCUCGGAGUGGAAGCGGAUGAGGAGGAAGGAUCAACCCGCCACGGUUUACCUGAAGCAGGUGAAAGGACGGCCCCAAUCAACCAAACUAACGCCAGUUCUUCAGUAACUGACGAGGGCUCAAGCAUCCCCGCACUAACGAGUGGAUUUCAAGAAGAUGGAGAGGGUCACCUGAAUCUUGACAUUUAUAAACAUGCAACUGCAUUUCUUCUUCAAGCCAAGGAAACUCAUCGACUGACACAGAGAGCUGUUAACCACAUCGUGAGUGGAGUCCAGCAAUACCAGGCCGUAUUAUUGGAGCACCUAAAACAACAAAUGAGUGACAUGAUUGAGAGACAUUCUGGGGACCUGGAUCAACUAAAGAGUGAUGCAAUAGGGGUAUUUGACCAGUUUGUUGACCCUUUCACUCAAAUUGCUUCCACCCAUUUGCAGGACAAGACCAUCAAAGAACUGUUAAAACCAGUUGAACCAGAGAUUAUUGUCACAAAACAAACAGUCUGUUAUUCGAAGCGUGGAGACUCCAGAGUUCUUGCCAUUAAGGACCAUUGUUUUCAUUACAUACCGUUGGUGAAAAGUUUGGAGCAGCUGCUAUCACAUGUAGUUUCACAUGUAGAACAUGUAGUUUCUGUACAGUGGAUUAUGCUACAUGGAAAUAAGCAUUCAUGUGAAAAAUCUUUGGUUAUUUCUGAUGUCAUAAAUGAUGCUCCAGAGUUUGCACUUGUUAAAAACAUCUAUAUUGUAAAUGCAUCUGUGUAUUGCUUUGAAUGCCAGCCUCUCUCUACAGUUGGGUGGAAAGAUCAGUAUUUAGCUUAUGAGGUAGAAGUUCCCUGUCUAGCUCAGGCAAAUAUUUUUGUGGAUGCUGGAAAUCUUGUUGAUUAUACAGCAUACCACUAUGUAAACUUUAAUAAUUCCAGUGAAGUAUGAUCUCACUGACAUCAUCAAACAUCAUUCUUGAGUCUUUUGUGAAUAUGUGGGCUGAAAUAAUGUUUUUAAACACUGGCAAAAAAUUUAUUGUUCUAUUUACUUUUUAUUUUACUUUUGGCGCAAUCUGUUCAGUGCAACACAACUGAGAGGGAAACAAUUUCAGUGUUUUGCCUCUUUCAAUGUCACAUUGAUAUGGUUUGACUGGUAUGUAAGAAAAAUAAAUACACUGUGCUUAAGAUACUAAGACUCAUAAUAAUGCAAUGUUGGGC
ensembl:lncRNA